rnacentral:sRNA from 1 species
CUGUAGCCAGGACAGCCUUCUGGAAGGCCUGGACGUCGAUAGCCGGAUAGUGCGACGUAAGGAAAUAACACCGGCAGCC